rnacentral:lncRNA from 1 species
ACGAUCCCAAGACUCAUACAAUGAUUUUCUAUCUAAUUGUGUGAAUGUGGUGAUGUCAAUCGUCAACCUAGCUAUCUUUGAAAGGGGGAAGUACUUGGCUAGAAUGUGUUAAGCCAUGUCCUCCCAAGUAGUGAUGGAACCAACCUAUAAUGAAUUCAACCAAGAUUUAGCUCUAUCCUUCAAUGAGAAAGGGAAGAGCCUUAACCUGAUUGCAUCUUUGCUCACUCCAUUAUGCUUGAAAGUGUAGCAAAUUUUCAGAAAAUUAACAAAGUGCUCAUUAAAUCUUCAAUUGGGAACCCAAAAAAUUGUACACUCUG